UGAACCAGCCAAGUAGCGUGAAGGAUGACUGCCCUAUGGGUUGUAAACUUCUUUUAUAAAGGAAUAAAGUCGGGUAUGCAUACCCGUUUGCAUGUACUUUAUGAAUAAGGAUCGGCUAACUCCGUGCCAGCAGCCGCGGUAAUACGGAGGAUCCGAGCGUUAUCCGGAUUUAUUGGGUUUAAAGGGAGCGUAGAUGGAUGUUUAAGUCAGUUGUGAAAGUUUGCGGCUCAACCGUAAAAUUGCAGUUGAUACUGGAUAUCUUGAGUGCAGUUGAGGCAGGCGGAAUUCGUGGUGUAGCGGUGAAAUGCUUAGAUAUCACGAAGAACUCCGAUUGCGAAGGCAGCCUGCUAAGCUGCAACUGACAUUGAGGCUCGAAAGUGUGGGUAUCAAACAGGAUUAGAUACCCUGGUAGUCCACACGGUAAACGAUGAAUACUCGCUGUUUGCGAUAUACUGCAAGCGGCCAAGCGAAAGCGUUAAGUAUUCCACCUGGGGAGUACGCCGGCAACGGUGAAACUCAAAGGAAUUGACGGGGGCCCGCACAAGCGGAGGAACAUGUGGUUUAAUUCGAUGAUACGCGAGGAACCUUACCCGGGCUUAAAUUGCAGAUGAAUUACGGUGAAAGCCGUAAGCCGCAAGGCAUCUGUGAAGGUGCUGCAUGGUUGUCGUCAGCUCGUGCCGUGAGGUGUCGGCUUAAGUGCCAUAACGAGCGCAACCCUUGUUGUCAGUUACUAACAGGUUCCGCUGAGGACUCUGACAAGACUGCCAUCGUAAGAUGUGAGGAAGGUGGGGAUGACGUCAAAUCAGCACGGCCCUUACGUCCGGGGCUACACACGUGUUACAAUGGGGGGUACAGAGGGCCGCUACCACGCGAGUGGAUGCCAAUCCCCAAAACCUCUCUCAGUUCGGACUGGAGUCUGCAACCCGACUCCACGAAGCUGGAUUCGCUAGUAAUCGCGCAUCAGCCACGGCGCGGUGAAUACGUUCCCGGGCCUUGUACACACCGCCCGUCAAGCCAUGGGAGCCGGGGGUACCUGAAGUGCGUAACCGCGAGGAGCGCCCUAGGGUAAAACUGGUGACUGGGGCUAAGUCGUAACAAGGUAGCCGUACCGGAAGGUGCGGCUG
rnacentral:rRNA from 1 species